UACGUAUCGUCCAAACGUUGUUCGGAUUUACUGGGUUUAAAGGGUGCGUAGGCGGUGCGCUAAGUCGGGGGUGAAAUACUUCGGCUCAACCGGAGAAUUGCCGCUGAAACUGGCGUGCUCGAGGGAGGUAGAGGUGCGUGGAACUUCCGGUGGAGCGGUGAAAUGCGUUGAUAUCGGAAGGAACACCUGUGGCGAAAGCGAUGCACUGGACCUCUUCUGACGCUGAGGCGCGAAAGCCAGGGGAGCGAACGGG
rnacentral:rRNA from 1 species